UUUUAAAGCUGACGUCUUUGGCGUCCGCGUUGUAAUUUGGAGAGGCAUCUUCGGUUUGGGCGCCAGCCUAUGUUCCUUGGAACAGGACGUCACAGAGGGUGAGAAUCCCGUGCCUGGCUGGCUGUCCCUUUCCAUGUGAAGUGCCUUCGACGAGUCGAGUUGUUUGGGAAUGCAGCUCAAAAUGGGUGGUAAAUUUCAUCUAAAGCUAAAUAUUGGCGGGAGACCGAUAGCGCACAAGUAGAGUGAUCGAAAGAUGAAAAGCACUUUGAAAAUAGAGUUAAAAAGUACGUGAAAUUGUUGAAAGGGAAGCGCUUGAGACCAGACUCGGCCGGAGAUGAUCAGCCGUCCUUCUGGGCGGUGCACUCGUUUCCGGCCGGGCCAGCAUCGGUUGAGACGGCGGGAUAAAGGCCCGGGGAAUGUGGCUCCUUUCGGGGAGUGUUAUAGCCCCGGGCGCAAUGCCGCCAGCCUCGACCGAGGACCGCGCUUCGUUGCUAGGAUGCUGGCGUAAUGGUCUUCAGCGACCCGUCUUGAAACACGGACCAAGGAGUCUAACAUCUAUGCGAGUGUUUGGGUGCCAAACCCUUGCGCGUAAUGAAAGUGAACGGAGGUGGGAACCCCUCGCGGGGCGCACCAUCGACCGGUCCUGAUGUCUUCGGAUGGAUCUGAGUAGGAGCAUAGCUGUUGGGACCCGAAAGAUGGUGAACUAUGCCUGAAUAGGGUGAAGCCAGAGGAAACUCUGGUGGAGGCUCGCAGCGGUUCUGACGUGCAAAUCGAUCGUCAAAUUUGGG
rnacentral:rRNA from 1 species